CGUGUAGGCGGCCAAUCAAGUCCGGUGUGAAAGCCCGGGGCUCAGCUCCGGAAGUGCAUCGGAAACUAGUCGGCUCGAGCGCGAUAGAGGAGGGUGGAAUUCCUGGUGUAGCGGUGAAAUGCGUAGAUAUCGGGAGGAACGCCAGUGGCGAAGGCGGCUUCCUGGCCUGUUCCUGACGCUGAGACGCGAAAGCUGGGGGAGCGAACGGGAUUAGAUACCCCGGUAGUCCCAGCCGUAAACGAUGGUCACUAGGUGUUGGGGGUACCCCUCAGUGCCGAAGCUAACGCAUUAAGUGACCCGCCUGGGGAGUACGGCCGCAAGGUUGAA
rnacentral:rRNA from 1 species